GCGUGAACUUCGUCCAUGCGCGUAACA
rnacentral:sRNA from 1 species